rnacentral:rRNA from 1 species
CGGACGGGUGAGUAAUGCUUGGGAAUCUGGCUUAUGGAGGGGGAUAACUACGGGAAACUGUAGCUAAUACCGCGUAGUGUCGAGAGACGAAAGGGUGGGACCUUCGGGCCACCUGCCAUAAGAUGAGCCCAAGUGGGAUUAGGUAGUUGGUGGGGUAAAGGCCUACCAAGCCGACGAUCUCUAGCUGGUCUGAGAGGAUGACCAGCCACACUGGAACUGAGACACGGUCCAGACUCCUACGGGAGGCAGCGGUGGGGAAUAUUGCACAAUGGGGGGAACCCUGAUGCAGCCAUGCCGCGUGAAUGAAGAAGGCCUUCGGGUUGUAAAGUUCUUUCGGUGAUGAGGAAGGUGUUCGUUUUAAUAGGGCAAGCAAUUGACGUUAGUCACAGAAGAAGCACCGGCUAACUCCGUGCCAGCAGCCGCGGUAAUACGGAGGGUGCGAGCGUUAAUCGGAAUGACUGGGCGUAAAGGGCACGCAGGCGGUGACUUAAGUGAGAUGUGAAAGCCCCGAGCUUAACUUGGGAAUUGCAUUUCAUACUGGGUUGCUAGAGUAUUUUAGGGAGGGGUAGAAUUCCACGUGUAGCGGUGAAAUGCGUAGAGAUGUGGAGGAAUACCGAAGGC